rnacentral:rRNA from 1 species
UACGGGGGGGGCAAGCGUUGUUCGGAAUUACUGGGCGUAAAGGGCGCGUAGGCGGUGCUCUAAGUUAGAUGUGAAAACUCUGGGCUCAACCCAGAGCCUGCAUCUAAAACUGGAGCGCUAGAGUUCUGGAGGGGGUAGCGGAAUUCCUGGUGUAGCGGUGAAAUGCGUAGAUAUCAGGAGGAACACCGGUGGCGAAGGCGGUUACCUGGACAGAAACUGACGCUGAGUGCGCGAAAGCUAGGGGA